AACGAACGCUGGCGGCGUGCUUAACACAUGCAAGUCGGACGAGAAACACAUCCUUCGGGGUGUGAAGUAAAGUGGCGCACGGGUGAGUAACACGUGGGUAACCUACCCUCGGGCUCGGGAUAACUGGCCGAAAGGCCCGCUAAUACCGGAUAAGACCACAGGAGCUCUGGCUCUAGGGGUCAAAGGCGGCCUCUCGAAGAAGCCGUCACCCAUGGAUGGGCUCGCGGACCAUUAGCUAGUUGGUAAGGUAACGGCUUACCAAGGCUGAGAUGGUUAGCUGGUCUGAGAGGAUGACCAGCCACACUGGAACUGAGACACGGUCCAGACUCCUACGGGUGGCAG
rnacentral:rRNA from 1 species